rnacentral:misc_RNA from 1 species
UCCGGUUUGUCACCGGCAGUCCCACUAGAGUGCCCAACUGAAUGUAGCAACUAAUGGCAAGGGUUGCGCUCGUUGCGGGACUUAACCCAACAUCUCACGACACGAGCUGACGACAGCCGUGCAGCACCUGCACAGGCUCCCUUGCGGGUCCCUUGGCUUUCGCCUCAGUACCACCUGCAUGUCAAGUCCGGGUAAGGUUCUUCGCGUUGCAUCGAAUUAAACCACACGCUCCGCUGCUUGUGCGGGCCCCCGUCAAUUCCUUUGAGUUUUAACCUUGCGGUCGUAGUCCCCAGGCGGAGUACUUAUCGCGUUAGCUACGGUACCAAGGAAUCGCUUCCCCAACACCUAGUGAGCAUCGUUUAGGGCGUGGACUAC